rnacentral:rRNA from 1 species
UCCCUAGUACGGCGAGUGAAGCGGGAUGAGCUCAAAUUUAAAAUCUGGCAGUCUAAGAUUGUCCGAGUUGUAGUCUAGAGAAGCGUUUUCCGCGUAGGCCUGUGUACAAGUCCCUUGGAAUAGGGCGUCAUAGAGGGUGAGAAUCCCGUCCUUGACACAGAUCAUCUAUGCUUUGUGAUGCGCUCUCGAAGAGUCGAGUUGUUUGGGAAUGCAGCUCAAAAUGGGUGGUAAAUUCCAUCUAAAGCUAAAUACUGGCGAGAGACCGAUAGCGAACAAGUACCGUGAGGGAAAGAUGAAAAGCACUUUGGAAAGAGAGUUAAACAGUACGUGAAAUUGUUGAAAGGGAAACGAUUGAAGUCAGUCAUGUGGUUCGAGAUUCAGCCGGUUCUGCCGGUGUAUUUCUCGAGCUACAGGCCAGCAUCAGUUUCGACCGGUGGAAAAAGUUGGAGGGAAUGUGGCAUCCUCGGAUGUGUUAUAGCCCUCUUUCACAUGCAUCGGACGGGACUGAGGAACGCAGCGUGCCUUUAUGGUCGGUCUUCGGACACGAACGCGCUUAGGAUGCUGGCAUAAUGGCUUUAAACGAUCCGUCUUGACCCAACGGACCCA